UCCUUUCUUUGCUCUUAUGGCGUAAUUCUUGAUUAGGUAGCAGGAGUGUCAUAAAUACUCUGCGGUCGGCACCUGUUGUAGCACCACAGAUAUCUCAAGGGUGAGUAGCUAUGUGUGUGUUUACGUUUACGCUGUGAGGUCAGCAUUGGUGUGGAGUAGAGGUUUAGCCAUGGUUUUCCAUGUUUCAAAGGGGAAUGGUAUCUUUGGGUUUAUAGUCAGCAAAGAAAGGUAGCAAAGUGAUAGUGGUUUAGGUUUAGCGGGUGUCCGCCAGCAUCUGUCGUAAAUCUGGUCCAUGAUAUCAGGGCUAGUUUGUGCCAACUCUGAUUGUGUGUAAAUAAUUGUAAAUACUGGAAUACAGAAGAGUUGGGUAAGUUAUAUUUCUUCUGAAGUUCUAGAAAGGGUAGAAUUUGUUGUUGGUGGCAACAUCCCUAAUGGAGUGGAUGCCUUGUUUGUGCCAAGAAUUUAAGCCUACCAAGCAAGGACAGUUUUGCAGUGUUCCAUUGUUGGGUAUGUGUUUUGUACAUGUGUAUUAAAGGUGUAAAAUUGAGGUUGAAGAUAUUGUCUGGGGUGUGACCAAUUUUGACCCCCAAAUAUGUGAUAUCUGUGGUCCUCCAGCCAAAAUCAUAUGAUUGUUGCAGGAGUUGUGUGAUUUUUUGGUGGGGAAGGUUUAUUGGUAGGGCUUGAGUUUUACUUUGUAGCAAUGUUGGUACUGAAACAGUUGGGUCUCUCAACGUCCGCAAUAUAUCAUCCACAAACAUGGAGAGGCUCUUUCCCUAAGUGGAUGCCUGAGAUGCUGCCUUAUUUUAUGUGCUAGGGGUUCUAGGGAGAGGAUGAAGGGUAAUGGUGACAGGGGGCAUCCCUGCCAAACACCGUUUGUGAUAUGGAAUGGUUUGGAGAUAACCCCUGAGUUGGCUACUUUGGCUUGUGGGUCAUUGUACAUUAUUUCGGUGAUAAAGGUAUGGGGAAAGCCGAAUUUGAGAUGUACUUGUGUCAUGUAUUAAGAGUGGAGUCUGUCAAAAUCCUUCUCUGUGUCUAAAGCAAGGAGGCGGCCCUGGUCGUGUCGAUGUGGGAAAGUAGGUUAAGGAUUAUUUUUUUUCUGAUGUUGUCUGAGCAUUGUCUCCCCUUGAUAAACCCAGAUUGGUCAUAGUGGACUAGUUUCGGUAGGACGGUAGAAAGUCUGUUGGCCAGAAGUUUGGCAUACAUUUUUACGUCGGGAUUCAGUAGUGAGAUUGGUCAGAAAUUUUUGCAUUGGGUAAGGGCUUUACCUGGUUUUGGCAAUGUGGAGAUGUGUACCAUAAGCAUGUCGUUGGGUAGUUUCCCUUCAAAGUAGCAUGAGUUGAAUAGGUAUGUGAUGGAGGAUGAGAGAACGUUUGCAAAUGUCUGGUAGUAGAGGUUGGUGAAGUUAUCUGGGCCUGGCGCUUUGUGUGUGGGACGAUCUUUAAUAGCUUUUUCUACUUCUGCGCGUGUGAAAAGAGAGGUAAGUGUUUGAGAGUGUAAGAGUGAUAAGGGGGCAGGGUCCUCUUUAAGGUUAUAGUGUGCUACAAUAAGACGCAAGCUCGUCAACUAUGUCUUGUGGAUUGAUCAGUUUCCCUUAGUUGUUAGUCUGUAUAUAUGCUAUCUUGAAUUUUUGUGUUCUGGCUUUGAGUUGUGAUGCUAGUAGAGCACCUGCUUUAUUACCUUGGGAGAAGGAUCUAUAUUUACAUCUCUGUAAAAGGUAAGUAGUCUUUUCAGUUCCAUGGUUUUAAGUUUGUUUUGUAACAAGGUAAGUUCAAUUUGCGUAGUUUUGGAUGGGUGUUAUUUGUUUUUGUUUGUGGGGUCAGUAAUGUCUCUAGUGAGCGUCAGGUAUGUUUGCUUCCGUUGUUUGUUUCGAAAGCUGGCAUGUUUGUUAAAAAUGUCUUAUUACCGCUUUGUGCGCCUGCCAUACUGUUUCUAUACUGGUGUCGGUGGGGUUAUUCAAGUCAAAAUAUGAGGAUAAUUCUUUUUGUAUUGUGGUGAUCAAGUUAGUGUCUCUGAGUAGGGAAACGUUUAAUUGCCAGGUGCUUUAAUCUGAAAAUGGGUAAAUUUCUUGAAUUGUCAUAAGAGCAUGGUCAGACCAUAAUAUAAGGCAUAUAGUGGUGUUGUGAAAUUUGUGGAGUAAUUGUGAGGGUGUAUUAUUAUUAUUAUUGGCAUUUAUAUAGCGCCAACAGAUUCCGUAGCCUCUCCAUGUUUGUGGAUGAUAUAUUGCGGACGUUGAGAGACCCAACUGUUUCAGUACCAACAUUGCUACAAAGUAAAACUCAAGCCCUACCAAUAAACCUUCCCCCCCAAAAAAAUCACACAACUCCUGCAACAAUCAUAUGAGAGGGGAUUUAACUAUAAAUAGGACAAUUACAAGAAAACUUAUAGGGUGGAGAGGACCCUGCUCAAACCAGCUUACAUUGUAUAGGAGGUGGGGUGUAAAACACAAUCGGACAGGAAAUAUCAAUCAGUAGAGUGCUGCCCAUUAGGAGAGCGCAAGAGACAGGUAUGUGGGGUGAGUCUGGGAGGCCAUAAGCUUUCCUAAAGAGAUGGGUUUUUUAGGCACUUUUUAAAAGAUGCAAGACUAGGGGAGAGUCUGAUGAUGGUAGACAGGCUAUUCCAUAGGAAGGGAGCCGCCCGCAAGAAGUCCUGCAAGCGUGAGUUGGCCGUACGGGUGCGAACAACAGAUCUGUGAAGAGAUAUGAGAUAUGGGCUAGAUUUGUUCAGUGCUUUAUAGGUGUGAAUUAGUACCUUGAAUUGACUCCUAUAGCAUUCAGGAAGCCAAUGUAAGGACUGACAGAGGGGUGAGGUGUGAGAGAACCGACUAGAGAGGAAAAUCAGUCUGGCGGCAGCAUUCAUUACAGACUGUAACGGUGCAGUAUGGCUUUUGGGAAGAGCAAUCAGGAGAGGGUUACAAUAAUCCAUGUGGGAAAUUACUAGCGCAUGGACAAGCUCCUUGGUAGCAUCUUGCGUAAGAAAGGGGCGGAUGUGGGCUAUGUUUUUAAGAUGGAAUCUACAGGAUUUGGCAACAUACUGGAUGUGAGGCUAGAAUCAAGUAUGACACCAAGAAAGCGCGCUUGCAAGGAUGGACUUAUGUGGGAACCACUAACUUGAAGGGAGAGCGAAAGAGGAGGAUCAGUAUUAAGAGGAGGAAAGACAAGGAGUUCAGUUUUAGAGACAUUGAGUUUCAGAAAGCGGGAGGACAUCCAGUCAGAGAUGGAAGAAAGGCAAGCAGUGACACGUUGCAGGACGGCAGGAGAGAGGUCCGGGGAGGAGAGAUAUAUCUGGGUGUCAUCAGCGUACAGGUGGUAGUGGAAACCAAAAGAGGUUAUAAGUUUGCCAAUAGAGGCAGUAUAAAGAGAAAAUAGAAGGGGACCAAGUACAGAACCUUGGGGGACUCCAACCGAGACAGGACGAGGGGAGGAGGGGUUAUUAGAAAAGGAGACACUGAAUGAG